AAGAUUUUAAAGGUCGAACAGACCUAAAAUUUAAAUUUUUGCCCCUAAAUUUUUUCUUAAUCCAACAUCGAGGUCGCAAUCUCUAAUUUCAAUUUGAACUUAAAAUUAAAAUUACG
rnacentral:rRNA from 1 species